GAUGAAGAACGUAGCGAAAUGCGAUAAGUAAUGUGAAUUGCAGAAUUCAGUGAAUCAUCGAAUCUUUGAACGCACAUUGCGCCCGCCAGUAUUCUGGCGGGCAUGCCUGUUCGAGCGUCAUUUCAACCAUCAAGCCCCCCGGCUCGUGUUGGGGACCUGCGGCUGCCGCAGGCCCUGAAAAGCAGUGGCGGGCUCGCUGUCACACCGAGCGUAGUAGCAUACAUCUCGCUCUGGGCGUGCUGCGGGUUCCGGCCGUUAAACCACCUUCAUAACCCAAGGUUGACCUCGGAUCAGGUAGGAAGACCCGCUGAACUUAAGCAUAUCAAUAAGCGGAGGA
rnacentral:misc_RNA from 1 species